GGGGAACACGGACGAAGGAAUCGAGGGCUUCCAGUGUCAGGCCUAGGCUUCACUGCACAACCUGAUUGUGUCACAUUUUUUCUUGGCUCUCUCUUCUCAUGGAUAUUGACGAACCAAGAACUCCGAAGCCUGAAGAUAUGAGAUCUAGAGUGCCCCAUAAACAUUGGUGUAAAGUCUGCGCUAAGAACUUCCGUUCAGGGAAGGCUCUUGGAGGCCACAUGACGUGCCACCGGCUUGCGGUCGUGCAGACAAGGAGCACACCCAG